rnacentral:tRNA from 1 species
UUUAAUUGAAACCAAAAAGAGGUAUAUUAUUGUUAAUAAUAAAACUGAAUGUAAAUUCCAAUUAAAG